CGCUCGGCCGCGCCCCCGUGUCUGUGGCGGCCGCCGGAGCGCGGCGGCGGCAGGCGGAAGAUGGCGGCGGCCGCGGCGGCGGCGCUGCGGGCCUGGUUCUGGAACGAGCGGUUCUGGCUCCCACACAACGUAACGUGGGCGGAUCUGGCCGGCGAGCCGGGCCCGCCGGGCAGCGGGCUGCAGUACCCGCGGGCCGCUCACGUUCUCUCCGCCUUCCCGCUGGCGCUCGGCAUCUUCGCCGUGCGGCUGCUCUUCGAGAGGUUUAUUGCCAAGCCAUGUGCCAUAAACCUUGGCAUUCAGGACAGUGGACCUCACAGAGCCCAGCCCAAUGCAAUUUUAGAGAAAGUGUUUACAUCCAUCACUAAGUCUCCAGAUGGAAAAAGGUUAGAAGGCUUGUCCAAGCAGCUGGACUGGGAUGUCCGAAAGAUCCAGCGCUGGUUUCGGCAUCGGAGGAACCAGGACAAACCCACCACCCUUACUAAAUUUUGUGAGAGCAUGUGGAGAUUUACAUUUUAUUUCAGUAUAUUUUUUUAUGGAAUCAGGUUUCUCUGGACGGCACCCUGGUUUUGGGACACACGACAAUGCUGGUACAACUACCCUUUCCAGCCUCUAACAUCCAGGCUUUAUUAUUACUAUAUCUUGGAGCUGGCCUUCUACUGGUCCCUCAUGUUUUCUCAGUUUACAGACAUUAAAAGGAAGGACUUCCUGAUCAUGUUCGUCCAUCACUUGGCCACGAUUGGACUCAUCACAUUCUCGUACAUGAAUAACAUGGUGCGGGUUGGAACUCUGGUGCUGUGCCUUCAUGAUGCUUCAGAUUUCCUCUUGGAGGCUGCAAAACUGGCCAAUUAUGCCAAGUACCAACGUCUGUGUGAUGCUUUCUUCAUGCUCUUUGGGGUCGUGUUCAUUGUGACCCGGCUGGGCAUUUACCCUUUCUGGAUUUUGAACACGACUCUGUUUGAAAGCUGGGAGCUGAUCGGUCCCUACCCUUCCUGGUGGCUGUUCAACGGGCUCCUGGUGACCUUGCAGGUCUUGCAUGUCAUCUGGUCUUACCUCAUCAUCCGCACGGCCUCCAAGGCCCUGGUGAGGGGCAAGGUGACCUAGCCAGAGAAAGGACUCUAAGCUCUGUCUUCUUCAUUCUUUUCUCCUUUUCUCUGUGCCAGAUUGGAGCUGGACAGUUUCACCCUGUGCAUGUAUCCAAGGAUGACCGCAGUGAUGUGGAGAGCAGCUCCGAGGAGGAGGAUGUGACUUCCAACAGCACAAAAGGAAUUUUCAGCACUUCCAGUAACGGUUCCAACCGCCUGAACGGCCACAUGGCCGGUGGCCAGUGGACAGGAGAGGAGUAAGGCCCUGGGCUGGCCUUGAGCAAACACGAACUUCUCUUUCAAUAUCUAGUUGUGUUGAGCUCCAUAUUCCCAAGUGAUCUUUAAUCAAAAACCCCUUCCCCAGAAACCUCCAGCAGACCCGAAACGGGCACAACCCUGACCAGUCAGAGGCUUUGCACAGCACAAAGGAUGAAGCCAACAACCGGGGCAAAAAUAAAGCUGCAGAUUUCACUUCAAGCCAUUUUGUGCUUCAAAAGUACAAGAAAACACCCGAGUCCUGUUGGUAUUUGCAGAGGUGUCUUUGUUUGUGACAAACUGACUUUUACUGGGAUCAACUCGAGGCAGAGCACAUUUGGACCACAGGAUUUGGUGCCGCUCAGCGACGGUUCACUCCCAGCAGGUGCAGCAGCUCUUGAUGCACUCCAGAAGCCACUUCAGAGCACAGAGAACGCAGGUUCCAUGUCCCAGCUGCCCUGGGUGAGGCAGAGACUCUGCUCCCAGCUGAGCUUUGAACUGUGCUAACCCAGAACCACUGCUCUGCCUUGCCCCAGGCUGCUGGGGAGGUCCCAGCUGCUCAUCUCUGCUGUCACCAGGGACCAGGCCAGCAUCUGCUGCCUCUUUUGGUGCUGCAAACCCCUCUGAAGUCUUGACCAAAGCCUUCUGCAAGGGGGUUUGGGGGGCGGUUUAUUGCCCCUGAGACAACCAGCAUAAUCCAGGCGUUUUAAAUUGUUUUCUUCCUGUUGCAAAUUGUGGUUUUGAAGACUUCUCUAGACCUACUGGAUUCAGUUGGCUAAGCAGGGAUCAGAGGCAGGAUCAGAACUGGUAGGCUGGGUUUAACUCUCCUAAAAAUGAGAUGUUUUGGUCCUGUACUCUGAGACAAGUGAUUGUUGCUGCUCUGAUGUUAGAGCUGUGGAGGAACCCAGGGCUGGAAGAGCAGCCACACUGUGGGCUUUGCUUCUCUUUUUUUUUUUUACUCAGUGGUACUUGGGGGCAAUGGAACGGUCAAUCAGGAGCAGAAUUUUGGAAACUUCUCAAGUUGUUACCAUUUUAUACUGUUGUUUACUCUUAUCUCCAAUUAAAAGUUGCUUCAGAAACCUGGGGUGAUGCGUUUCAUCUUGAGGAAAUAGAAGAGAGGACAGUGUGUAUCUGUCUCUGAGCACCUGGGCUGCUGCCAGGAGCACAGGAGAAACAACUUUUUGGAAGAAUAGAAGUAAUGGACUUGUGGAAGGCAUCCCUCCCUAUGGAAGGGGGGUGGAACCAAGUGACCUUUGAGGUCCCUCCCAGCCCAGCCCAGUUUAUGAUUUGGGGUUUACCACAAACCACCACACUGGCCACAAUUUCUCAUUAUUCUUGUUAAGAUUAAACAAUAAUUAUAUCUAAUUACUAAGCAAGCA